UACGUAGGUGGCGAGCGUUGUCCGGAUUUACUGGGCGUAAAGAGCGCGCAGGCGGUCGAUCAAGUCGGAUGUGAAAGCCCCCCGGCUCAACUGGGGAGGGUCAUUCGAUACUGGUCGACUCGAAGGCAGGAGAGGGAAGCGGAAUUCCCGGUGUAGUGGUGAAAUGCGUAGAUAUCGGGAGGAACACCAGUGGCGAAGGCGGCUUCCUGGCCUGUUCUUGACGCUGAGGCGCGAAAGCUAGGGGAGCAAACGGGG
rnacentral:rRNA from 1 species